rnacentral:SRP_RNA from 1 species
GCCAGGUGCGAUGUGCUGGUCGUGCCUAUAGCCCCAGCGACUCGGGAGGCUGAGGCGGGAGGAUCACUGGAGCCCAGGAGUCCUGGGCUGUGCUGUGCUAUGCCGACUGGGUGUCUGCACUGAGUUCUUCAUCCAUGUGGUGACCUCCUGGGAGCAGGGACCACAGGUGGCCUAAGGAGGAGUGAACUGGCCCAGGUUGGAAAUGGGGCAGGUUGAAGCUCCCGUGCUGAUCCGUAGUGGGAUCAUGCCUGUGAACGGCGCUGCACCCCAGCCUAGGCAAGACAGCAAGAUCCCACCUCU